GACGAACGCUGGCGGCGUGCUUAACACAUGCAAGUCGAACGAUGAAGCCAGCUUGCUGGUGGAUUAGUGGCGAACGGGUGAGUAACACGUGGGUGAUCUGCCCCAAACUUUGGGAUAAGCCUGGGAAACUGGGUCUAAUACCGAACAUGACCGAUACUCGCAUGGGUGUUGGUGGAAAGCUCCGGCGGUUUGGGAUGGGCCCGCGGCCUAUCAGCUUGUUGGUGGGGUAAUGGCCUACCAAGGCGACGACGGGUAGCCGGCCUGAGAGGGCGACCGGCCACACUGGGACUGAGACACGGCCCAGACUCCUACGGGAGGCAGCAGUGGGGAAUAUUGCACAAUGGGCGCAAGCCUGAUGCAGCGACGCCGCGUGAGGGAUGACGGCCUUCGGGUUGUAAACCUCUUUCACCAGGGACGAAGCGAAAGUGACGGUACCUGGAGAAGAAGCACCGGCCAACUACGUG
rnacentral:rRNA from 1 species